rnacentral:rRNA from 1 species
UACGUAGGGUGCGAGCGUUGUCCGGAAUUACUGGGCGUAAAGAGCUCGUAGGUGGUUUGUCGCGUUGUUCGUGAAAACUCACAGCUUAACUGUGGGCGUGCGGGCGAUACGGGCAGACUGGAGUACUGCAGGGGAGACUGGAAGUUCCUGGUGUAGCGGUGGAAUGCGCAGAUAUCAGGAGGAACACCGGUGGCGAAGGCGGGUCUCUGGGCAGUAACUGACGCUGGAGGAGCGAAAGCGUGGGGAGCGAACAGGA